rnacentral:tRNA from 1 species
CAAGAUUUGUAAAAUUUAAUCUACAUCUUCUGACUGCAACUCAGACACUUUAAUUAAGCUAAAACCUC